rnacentral:rRNA from 1 species
GUGGGGAAUUUUGGACAAUGGGCGCAAGCCUGAUCCAGCAAUGCCGCGUGCAGGAAGAAGGCCUUCGGGUUGUAAACUGCUUUUGUACGGAACGAAACGGUCCGGGUUAAUACCCUGGGCUAAUGACGGUACCGUAAGAAUAAGCACCGGCUAACUACGUGCCAGCAGCCGCGGUAAUACGUAGGGUGCAAGCGUUAAUCGGAUUACUGGGCGUAAAGCGUGCGCAGGCGGUUAUGUAAGACAGAGGUGAAAUCCCCGGGCUCAACCUGGGAACUGCCUUUGUGACUGCAUAGCUGGAGUGCGGCAGAGGGGGAUGGAAUUCCGCGUGUAGCAGUGAAAUGCGUAGAUAUGCGGAGGAACACCGAUGGCGAAGGCAAUCCCCUGGGCCUGCACUGACGCUCAUGCACGAAAGCGUGGGGAGCAAACAGGAUUAGAAACCCUUGUAGUCC